rnacentral:lncRNA from 1 species
GAGAUUUUUGAAAAUCUGGCGCCAAAUGUCCCGCCUCCGGAGGGGACCUGGUAUCCUAGAGAGUCGGACGGGGCUGGGCAGUGCCGGGCUCCAGGAUUUCCUGCCCACGCCCCGCACCCUCGAAGCAGACAGCGGGAUGCCAGGAACUUCCCCGCGCCCUGGGAUUGGAGUCAAUCCACCUAUACUGCAGGCUAAGAAGGGCUCAAGGUCAAGGCUUUGGGAUCCCCAAGCUGGAGCCAGGUGGAGACCAUGACUCCCAGUGUGCCUCGCUUGCACCCAGAGCCCGGAAACUACAAUUCCCGGCGGACCUCGCGCGG